UGCAGUCGACGCCCCGCAAGGGGAGUGGCAGACGGGUGAGUAACGCGUGGGAACAUACCCUUUCCUGCGGAAUAGCUCCGGGAAACUGGAAUUAAUACCGCAUACGCCCUACGGGGGAAAGAUUUAUCGGGGAAGGAUUGGCCCGCGUUGGAUUAGCUAGUUGGUGGGGUAAAGGCCUACCAAGGCGACGAUCCAUAGCUGGUCUGAGAGGAUGAUCACCCACAUUGGGACUGAGACACGGCCCAAACUCCUACGGGAGGCAGCAGUGGGGAAUAUUGGACAAUGGGCGCAAGCCUGAUCCAGCCAUGCCGCGUGAGUGAUGAAGGCCUUAGGGUUGUAAAGCUCUUUCACCGGAGAAGAUAAUGACGGUAUCCGGAGAAGAAGCCCCGGCUAACUUCGUGCCAGCAGCCGCGGUAAUACGAAGGGGGCUAGCGUUGUUCGGAAUUACUGGGCGUAAAGCGCACGUAGGCGGAUAUUUAAGUCAGGGGUGAAAUCCCAGAGCUCAACUCUGGAACUGCCUUUGAUACUGGGUAUCUUGAGUAUGGAAGAGG
rnacentral:rRNA from 1 species